rnacentral:rRNA from 2 species
GAACGAAGGGGGGGUGCCUAUAAUGCAGUCGAGCGGAUCAAAGGGAGCUUGCGUCCCUGAGAUCAGCGGCGGACGGGUGAGUAACACGUGGGUAACCUGCCUGUAAGACUGGGAUAACUCCGGGAAACCGGGGCUAAUACCGGAUAACUCAGUUCCUCGCAUGAGGAACUGUUGAACGGUGGCUUUUGCGAGCUGACGCAUCUUACAUAGUUGGAGCCGCGGCGCAUUAGCUAGUUGGUCGAAGGCUAACGCGUCUCACCAAGGCGACGAUGUCGUUGCCGACCUGAAGAAGGGUGAUCGUCGUCACACUUGGACUUUGACACGGCCCCAGAUCUCCUACGGGAGGCAGCCAGUAGGGAUUCUUUCCGCCAAUGGAGCGAAAGUCUGUCGGAUGGCAACGCCGCGUUAGUGAAGAAGGUUUUCGGAUCGUAAAAACUCAUGUUGUUAGGGAAGAACAAGUGCCGUUCGAAUAGGGCGGCGCCUUGACGGUACCUAACCAGAAAGCCACGGCUAACUACGUGCCAGCAAGCCGCGGUAAUACGUAGGUGGCAAGCGUUGUCCGGGAAUUAUUGGGCGUAAAGCGCGCGCAGGUGGUUUCUUAAGUCUGAUGUGCAAGCCCACGGCUCAACCGUGGAGGGUCAUUGGAAACUGGGGAACUUGAGUGCAGAAGAGGAAAGUGGAAUUCCAAGUGUAGCGGUGGAAUGCGUAGAUAUUUGGCGGAACACCAGUGGCGAAGGCGACUUUCUGGUCUGUAACUGACACUGAGGCGCGAAAGCGUGGGGAGCACACAGGAUUAGAUACCCUGCGUAGUCCACGCCGUAAACGAUGAGUGCUAAGUGUUAGAGGGUUUCCGCCCUUUAGUGCUGCAGCCUAACGCAUUGAGCACUCCGCCCUGGGGAGUACGGUCGCUAGACUGAAAGCUCCUCAGGAUUUGACGGGGGCCCGCACAAUCGGUGGAGCUUGUGGCUUUAGUUCUGAAGCAACGCGAAGAACCUUACCAGGUCUUGGACAUCCUCUGACAACCCUAGGAGAUAGGGCUUUCCCCUUCCGGGGGACUGAGUGACCAGGUGGUGGCAUGGUUUGUCGUCAGCUUCGUGUCGUGAGAUGUUGGGUUAAGUCUGGCAACGAGGUCGCACCCCUCUGAUCCUUAGUUGCCAGCAUUCAGUUUGGCAACUCCUAGGAUGACUGUCGGUCGGACAAACCGGAGGAAGGCGUGGCGGAGUGCCGGACGAUUCGAAUCGUCGUGCCCCCUUAUGCACGUGGGUCAUACACACGUGCUUUAGAAUGGACGGUACAAAGGGCACGCGAGACUGACUAGGGUUUAGCCAAUCCCAUAAAACCGUUCUCAGUUCGGAUUGCAGGCUGCAACUCGCCUGCAUGAAGCUGGAAUCGCUAGUAAUCGCGGAUCAGCAUGCCGCGGUGAAUACGUUCCCGGGCCUUGUACACACCGCCCGUCACACCACGAGAGUUUGUAACACCCGAAGUCGGUGAGGUAACCUUUUGGAGCCACCCCUUUAAGGGGGCCCGCCGGU